rnacentral:rRNA from 1 species
UACGUAGGGUGCAAGCGUUAAUCGGAAUUACUGGGCGUAAAGCGUGCGCAGGCGGUUUGUAAGUCUGUCGUGAAAGCCCCGGGCUCAACCUGGGAAUUGCGAUGGAGACUGCAAGGCUUGAAUCUGGCAGAGGGGGGUAGAAUUCCACGUGUAGCAGUGAAAUGCGUAGAGAUGUGGAGGAACACCGAUGGCGAAGGCAGCCCCCUGGGUCAAGAUUGACGCUCAUGCACGAAAGCGUGGGGAGCAAACAGG